UUAAUGACAUCACUCUGAUCCAUUGUUACAUUUCACCUGUUCACCUCCAAAUAGGAUCACUGCAUUUUUUGUAUAUAAGGUAUCCAUCUCACAUACACAAUUGUCUUGAAAAAAGUCUUUUACAGACUGAAACGUUGACUGGAACGUUGUGUGAAUUUGUAAUUGCUCAAUAAAGCAACAGAUGAAAAAAAUAAUACAAAAAAACACGCUGCUGUAC